GAUAAGCCUGUGCAGACUGCACAAGCUAAUUUUGGACAACACUUUAAGCACAUGCAUUUAACUACGUUUUCCCAAAACAGGACUCAUAUUUUUUACUUUUGUGCUGACUUAAAUGAUAGUUAUAGAUCAUAUCCAAAAGCAAUAAAGAUUCAACAACAUUUAUCCACUCCAAUGUGCCAUGAAAAGGACGGAGUAUGUACAAAUGUCACAUAGGUGCGAUACUUUACACAGGAAAAUUAUUGUUGUCACAAACUGUUCACCCUUUAACAACAUUUAUAACAUGCAACAGACAAGACAAAAAGAAUAGGAAUUGAUGUUCAACUUUACUUGUUAUUAUUUCAGUAAAAAGUUUCACUUGUUUUACAACCAUUUAAAGUGACAGAAAAUAAAGUUUGUAUUAAGAGAUGUAAAAUAAUAAGAGGAACAUAUGAGCCAUUAUCUUGGAAAACAUGGCUUAUUGCAUGUGCCAAAAGCUUUACGUGUGUCAUCUUAGAUUAGCCUGUGCAGUCAGGUUUAGGCUCUAAGUGUUAUCUCUGAUUAGCCUGUGCAGUCAGGUUUAGGCUCUAAGUGUUAUCUCUGAUUAGCCUGUGCAGUCAGGUUUAGGCUCUAAGUGUUAUCUCUGAUUAGCCUGUGCAGUCAGGUUUAGGCUCUAAGUGUUAUCUCUGAUUAGCCUGUGCAGUCAGGUUUAGGCUCUAAGUGUUAUCUCUGAUUAGCCUGUGCAGUCAGGUUUAGGCUCUAAGUGUUAUCUCUGAUUAGCCUGUGCAGUCAGGUUUAGGCUCUAAGUGUUAUCUCUGAUUAGCCUGUGCAGUCAGGUUUAGGCUCUAAGUGUUAUCUCUGAUUAGCCUGUGCAGUCAGGUUUAGGCUCUAAGUGUUAUCUCUGAUUAGCCUGUGCAGUCAGGUUUAGACUCUAAGUGUUAUCUCUGAUUAGCCUGUGCAGUCAGGUUAAGGCUCUUAGUGUUAUCUCUGAUUAGCCUGUGCAGUCAGGUUUAGGCUCUAAGUGUUAUCUCUGAUUAGCCUGUGCAGUCAGGUUUAGACUCUAAGUGUUAUCUCUGAUUAGCCUGUGCGGUCAGGUUUAGACUCUAAGUGUUAUCUCUGAUUAGCCUGUGCAGUCAGGUUUAGGCUCUAAGUGUUAUCUCUGAUUAGCC